GGAGGGUGCUAGCGUUGUUCGGAAUUACUGGGCGUAAAGGGCGCGUAGGCGGCCUGGUCAGUCGGAUGUGAAAGCCCGGGGCUCAACCCCGGAACGGCAUCCGAGACGGCCAGGCUGGAGACCGGGAGAGGAGAGUGGAAUAGCCAUUGUAGAGGUGAAAUUCGUAGAUAUUGGCUGGAACACCGGUGGCGAAAGCGGCUCUCUGGCCCGGUUCUGACGCUGAGGCGCGAAAGCGUGGGGAGCAAACAGGAUUAGAUACCCUGGUAGUCCACGCCCUAAACGAUGUGUGCUGGGCGUUGGGGGGCUUGCCCCUCGGUGCCGGAGCUAACGCGGUAAGCACACCGCCUGGGGAGUACGGCCGCAAGGUUA
rnacentral:rRNA from 1 species